rnacentral:rRNA from 1 species
UUCGCAAUGCCCGAAAGGGCUGCUAAAACCCGAUAGUUCCCAGUUGAUUAACUCGGCUGCGAUAAACGGUUGGCUCUUCGGAGCCUUCUGCUCGGAGAGGGGUCGAUGUUCCCAUCAGCUAGUUGGCGGGAUAACAGCCCACCAAGGCGAUGACGGGUAGCCGGACUGAGAGGUCGACCGGUCACACUGGCACUGAGACACUGGCCAGACUCCUACGGGAGGCUGCAGUCGAGAAUCUUCCGCAAUGGGCGCAAGCCUGACGGAGCGACGCCGCGUGCAGGAUGAAGGCCCUCGGGUUGUAAACUGCUGUCACAUGUUAAGAAUGGUCCCGCGUUAACAGCGUUGGACUUGACUAAGGCAUGAGAGGAAGCCACGGCUAACUUCGUGCCAGCAGCCGCGGUAAGACGAAGGUGGCAAGCGUUGCUCGGAAUUACUGGGCAUAAAGCGCGCGUAGGUGGCUUUGCAAGUCUGUGGUGAAAUCCCAUGGCUCAACCGUGGAACGGCCGCUGAUACUGCAGAGCUUGAGGACGGUAGGGGAGAGUGGAACUCCUGGUGUAGCGGUGAAAUGCGUGGAUAUCAGGAGGAACGCCGGUGGCGAAAGCGACUCUCUGGGCCGUUCCUGACACUGAGGUGCGAGAGCUAGGGGAGCAAACAGGAUUAGAUACCCUGGUAGUCCUAGCUGUAAACGAUGGGCACUAAGUAGAGGGGUUU